rnacentral:rRNA from 1 species
GACGAACGCUGGCGGCGUGCUUAACACAUGCAAGUCGAACGGAAAGGCCCUGCUUUUGUGGGGUGCUCGAGUGGCGAACGGGUGAGUAACACGUGAGUAACCUGCCCUUGACUUUGGGAUAACUUCAGGAAACUGGGGCUAAUACCGGAUAGGAGCUCCUGCUGCAUGGUGGGGGUUGGAAAGUUUUGGCGGUUGGGGAUGGACUCGCGGCUUAUCAGCUUGUUGGUGGGGUAGUGGCUUACCAAGUCUUUGACGGGUAGCCGGCCUGAGAGGGUGACGGGCAACAUUGGGACUGAGGUACGGCCCAGACUCCUACGGGAGGAAGCAGUGGGGAAGAUUGCACAAUGGGCGGAAGCCUGAUGCAGCAACACCGCGUGCGGGAUGAAGGCCUUCGGGGUGUAAACCGCUUUCGCCUGUGACGAAGCGAGAGUGACGGUAAUGGGUAAAGAAGCACCGGCUAACUACGUG